GGAAAUCAGAGUAGACACUGAAGAGAAGACUGAAAUCCCAAGUGACUGAGCCGCUGUUUCGAACGGAUGUUUAAAGGCUCCCUUUCAACAUCACUGAUAAGAGAUCAUCAUUUCUGAAGUAGUUCCAUGCUGUACUGGUGUCUCUUUGGAGAUCCACCUUUGCAACAGCAGAAUGGCACAAAAUCAGCCGUGCCACGGAAAGAACCAGCA